rnacentral:rRNA from 1 species
UACGAAGGGGGCUAGCGUUGUUCGGAUUUACUGGGCGUAAAGCGCACGUAGGCGGGUUGUUAAGUCAGGGGUGAAAUCCUGGAGCUCAACUCCAGAACUGCCUUUGAUACUGGCAACCUAGAGGCUGGAAGAGGUUAGUGGAAUUCCCAGUGUAGGGGUGAAAUUCGUAGAUAUUGGGAAGAACACCAGUGGCGAAGGCGGCUAACUGGUCCAGAUCUGACGCUGAGGUGCGAAAGCGUGGGGAGCAAACAGG